rnacentral:rRNA from 1 species
AUCUACGACCAUAGAACGCAGUCUUGUCUGCACAGAACGUGGAAAAAAAGGGUAUCCCCAUCCGCUCUGCCUUACUCAAGCCUCGUAUCGAUCAAGUAGUAGUAUCGUGGGUGACCAGAUGCGAAUUCUGAUUGUUGUAGUUU